AACGGUCUAUACCUGCGGUACCUGCGGAAGGAUCAUUACCGAGUGCGGGCCCUCGCGGCCCAACCUCCCACCCUUGUCUCUAUACACCUGUUGCUUUGGCGGGCCCACCGGGGCCACCUGGUCGCCGGGGGACGUCCGUCCCCGGGCCCGUGCCCGCCGAAGCGCUCUGUGAACCCUGAUGAAGAUGGGCUGUCUGAGUACUAUGAAAAUUGUCAAAACUUUUAACAAUGGAUCUCUAGA
rnacentral:misc_RNA from 1 species